rnacentral:rRNA from 1 species
AUUGAACGCUGGCGGCAUGCCUUACACAUGCAAGUCGAACGGUAACAGGUCUUCGGAUGCUGACGAGUGGCGAACGGGUGAGUAAUACAUCUGAACGUGCCUAGUAGUGGGGGAUAACUACUCGAAAGAGUGGCUAAUACCUCAUGAGAACUACGGAUGAAAGCAGGGGAUCGCAAGACCUAGUGCUACCAGAUCGGCCGAUGGCAGAUUAGGUAGCUGGUGGGAUAAAAGCUUACCAAGCCGACGAUCUGUAGCUGGUGGGUGGGGAAGAUCAGCCACACUGGGGCUGCUGAACGGCCCAGACUACUACGGGAGGCAGCAGUGGUGAAUUUUGGACAAUGGGCGAAGACCUGAUGCAGCAAUGCCGCGUGCAGGAUGAAGGCCUUCGGGGUGUAAACUGCUUUUGUACGGAGCGAAAAGCCCUGGGUAAAUACCCUGGGGUAAUGACGGUACCGUAAGAAUAAGCACCGGCUAACUACGUGCCAGCCGCCGCCGCGGUAA